rnacentral:misc_RNA from 1 species
AACAAGGCGUACCUGCGGACCUGCGGAAGGAUCAUUAAAAAACUUUGCCCGCGGACCUUGGGUCCAAGGCGCAAAACCCACACUAUGUGCACUGUUAUCGUUCUUUUGGCAGGGGCUUGGGGUGUCUUCCAACUUGGGGAACCUCAACUUCUCGUCUAGCUCUAUCCACCUCGGACAGCUGGACAUGAGAAGCAGUUACUCUGCCAAGUGACCCUUAAAAACACGCUUUUUGUCUGAAAU